ensembl:lncRNA
AGAGGGGGGCACUGUACACAGAGUCAGCCCUGUAAGAGGGGGAGGAGGGAGGAAAGAUGGGAUGGGGAGGAAAAGGAGAGGAGGCAGAAAGUGUACCCACACAGAGGAGAGUGGAGGCAUGGUAUGGUCUAAUGAAGAAGAGAUACAAAGGGAGGAGGAGAAAGGAAGGAUGAAGGAACAGGCUACUGACAUAUCCUGAUGGGCGGUGGAAGGAGUCAGCACUAUGAGGAGGGAACGACUGGACAUUUGCUACAGCCUUGUUCCAAUACUUUCAACAUGCAUCCUACCGCUUUCCCUUCCUCCUUCCCCUUGGAGCCCUCCUCUGCACCUGCGCCUGGCCUUCCUUUCCUGAACUUUGACCUCUCAACUAACCUCCUUCCUUCAACCUUCACCUAGCCAUACUGAACACAACUCUCUGGGAUCUCUCUUUAACUUCAAGACUAGAGAGGAUGGAGAGAAGGAGUAGGAUAAUGAAGUUUCCCCUAGACUCUGAGCUACGGUCAGUUUAGUGUUUCUCCUCCUAAUGGUUAAGGUUAGGAUCAGUGGAGCAUAAGCUGAUCCUAGAUCUGUGUCUAAGGUAAACACUUUUCUGGAGCUGUGAACAUCACUCUUACACGAACCGCAUACACUCAUUAAACUGCUCACUCUUUUUCAAAACUCAAAUGUACGUUCAUUUGUCCAGCUCUUCAUCCGGAGCGAAACUCACUUUAAGUGUUCAUGAAAUUCACCUUUUUGUCUUCCACUCGUGAAAUGGUUAACCUUCCUUUUCUCCUGAUGACACUGUAAAAUGUACAGAAAAAUGUACACUCGUUUUGCCCACUGACAGUGAAAGUUUAAUGGCCUGCUAGUGUCGCCAUAUGUUUACAAACUUACAUCUUUAUUAGUCUUUUUUUGUGGUUCAUUUUCUUGAGGUAAAAUCAACAUGUAAUCCUCAACACCCCUUACCUAGUCCAUCUCCAAUCUGCUUUCGGAAGAAAGGUGCCUCAAACUCAAAACUCACACACCAUCUACCCCAGACUCAAAACUCACACACCAUCUACCCCAAACUCAAAACUCACACACCAUCUACCCCAAACUCAAAACUCACACACCAUCUACCCCAAACUCAAAACUCACACACCAUCUACCCCAGACUCAAAACUCACACACCAUCUACCCCAAACUCAAAACUCACACACCAUCUACCCCAGACUCAAAACUCACACACCAUCUACCCCAAACUCAAAACUCACACACCAUCUACCCCAAACUCAAAACUCACACACCAUCUACCCCAAACUCAAAACUCACACACCAUCUACCCCAGACUCAAAACUCACACACCAUCUACCCCAAACUCAAAACUCACACACCAUCUACCCCAAACUCAAAACUCACACACCAUAUACCCCAAACUCAAAACUAACACACCAUCUACCCCAAACUCAAAACUCACACACCAUCUACCCCAGACUCAAAACUCACACACCAUCUACCCCAAACUCAAAACUGACACACCAUCUACCCCAAACUCAAAACUCACACACCAUAUACCCCAAACUCAAAACUAACACACCAUCUACCCCAAACUCAAAACUCACACACCAUCUAACCUAACCUAAACUCAAAACUAACACACCAUCUACCCCAAACUCAAAACUCACACACCAUCUACCCCAAACUCAAAACUCACACACCAUCUACCCCAGACUCAAAACUCACACACCAUCUACCCCAAACUCAAAACUCACACACCAUCUACCCCAAACUCAAAACUCACACACCAUAUACCCCAAACUCAAAACUAACACACCAUCUACCCCAAACUCAAAACUCACACACCAUCUACCCCAGACUCAAAACUCACACACCAUCUACCCCAAACUCAAAACUGACACACCAUCUACCCCAAACUCAAAACUCACACACCAUAUACCCCAAACUCAAAACUAACACACCAUCUACCCCAAACUCAAAACUCACACACCAUCUAACCUAACCUAAACUCAAAACUAACACACCAUCUACCCCAAACUCAAAACUAACACACCAUAUACCCAAAACUCAAAACUAACACACCAUCUACCCCAAACUCAAAACUAACACACCAUCUACCCCAAACUCAAAACUAACACACCAUCUACCCCAAACUUAAAACUAACACACCAUCUACGACAAACUCAAAACUGACUCUUAUUACACCGGUCUAAGACAUCAUACUCCCAAACUCGGCAUUUCCUGUCUCUGAGAUAACCUUGGACAUAGCGAUUUGAUUUGUAUGUAAUGGUACAACCCCCCAUAAUGUACUCCGAAUGAAACAGGAACCUUGUUCAAAUACUACAACUUCCCUCCCUGUGUAUCAAAUCCUACAAAAUAACUAACCUUCCCCUAAGAAUGACUUUAGCUGCAUGUUUUGGCAAUGCUUCUUACCUUUCUCUCUCUCUCUUGCAUCCAAAACCUAGUUGCUCUGAGCCUUUGGAAAUGUGUUAAUGUAUAGUGAAGGGGAUGGAUCAAUGUUGUGCUGUUGAACCCAGAGCCGUAGAUAUACUGGGUUCCAACUAACUAUCAUCCAUGAACUCUGUGAUGUGUCUGGCUCUGGCUGAACGGUUAUGUCUGAUCAAUUACACCUCAGUAUGAUUCCCAAAGCACUAAAGAGAUUCUUGCAAUAAAUGUACAGAUACGUUUGUAUAGAUGUUGGGGAUCAGAUAUUCAGGAUGGUAGUUCCACCAAGACUUAGUGGGAACUAUGAGAAUCUGGAUAUUAUAGUCUGAUACUGGAGGUUGGACGACAUAAAGCGUGCAGUAUUCUUAGAGGACAUACUGUCUGGAUUGGAAUAGAAAGCUGGCUAACCUCAACCCAGUCAGACAAGAGUUAUACACUCAAUGGCGAUAUUGUGAAGACUUUAAGUUUUGAAUAUACAAACAAUUAUGUAUGUAAGUGAUUUAAACACAACACACAGAUACACAUAUGCGAACACACACACACACACACACACACACAGACACACAACCACACACACACACACACAGAAGCACUGAGCUGUGUUAAAAAUGUUGCUAUAAUUUCUACCUCCUAUUUUGCACAGUGUAUAAUUGUAUGGCUUGAAGUGAUAGAGCCGACCUGAAUAAACAUAUUAUUCUCUUCAAAUAUGAUACAUAAAUGUUCUAAUGCAAGAACUUUUAAUGCAAGUCAUGUAUUUCAACAUACUGAAUAAAUGAUCCACAACAUGAAAGUGUUCAUGUGUGUAAUGUGUUCAAAAUGUGUAGCUAGGUUAAACAUUUUAUAGAAAUGCGC